GUUGAUUGCGUUAGCUACGAUACUGAUGUGAUCAUCCUUCAGGGUGAUGUAGCCAGGGUGAGAGAACUCCAGCAGCUCGCCGUCUUUAUACCAGCUACACAGAUCAGAGACGUGAGGGUUAGGAGCAAUUUUCUUUCCACAUCGGAAGGUAAGUUUCCUUCCCUCAGCAACCAGCUUUUGUUUGGUCCGAGGUGGCUUUGGAGUUGGGGCGAUGGUAGGAAAAGGGAAGGCUGUUUGGACAUAACGGUUUCCCAAGCUUUAAGCCACAAGAGAAAAAGAGCAACCACUGUGAUGUGAGUUCUGAACCUGAACGAUCGUGUCUUCCGUAUUGUUGGAUUCGGAAUUAUUUGGAAACUUUUCCCGACUUCUAAGUUAUAGUUACCGCAGAUGUUUUGGUGGCGCUCCAGACGACGCUGAUCACUAUGCGUCUGAAGCCCACCAGCCUCAUACUGGGAUUUCAGUGGCUUGUAAUCAUGCAAAACAUGUUCCCAGAAUGACCAAAUUUCACCCUGACUGCAAUGAGAACGAGACUAGUAACUGCCUUUUUCUUCCAAGCAAACAGAAUUUCAGCGUUUCGUACCAGUCUUGGCUUCUGGAAGAGAAAAUGUUUCCCUCCACUCUAGAAUAUGGGCGUGUUUCAAUAUUUUUGGAUUCAUCAAGUUCAUCUACUCUGCUGAAUUUAGCCUGCCAGCACCAUGACUUAAUGGGAUCUUUAGGUUUUUUUUUUUUCCCCCCAGUCCUACAAGGAAUGGAUUGCGGUUCUCAAAAAAAAUUUUUGUCACAAAGGCAAAUAUUUAUCUGUUAGAGACCAGAAGGAGUGGUCACUGAAAAGAAAAAAAAAAGCACAUGGAUUCAGCAACAGCAGCCAUUUUUUUUCUUGUCCUUUGUUCAAAUGAAAAGAAGAUGCUUCAGUUGAAUGCCAUGGCGUCAUAUGAAAACUAUUAUAAAGAGUUGCAUAGACUAUUUGGAAACGUGAAAAUGGAAAGCAUCCUUUGAGGCUUUUGAACAUACCAAGGACUUAAUUAAAUCUCAACACAUGUAGCAGUUCACUAUUAUUAGUUUUUUCCUCCAUAUAAUAAACACACAAGUGGCUUAAACUAUCCAACUAUUUCAAUGAGAAUCUAGAUCAUUGAAAUUUGAAAAUUGAGACAUUGAACAUUGACACACGAUCAUAUAAAACAAAGUCAUUUAUAUUUAGGAAAUGAAAGGAUGUAUUGGCUAAUAAAAUUUAUUCUGGAAGCUUAGUCCGUCUUGGCAUGAAAAGUGCUCGAUCAUCAAAAGACCAACCCUUUCUGUGAUGAAUAUGUUAGAGACAAUCAAAGUGGUGGUGGGAAGCUUUGAGCCAUUUCUGCAAUUUGACAUUUGCUCUUAUCCUUAUUGAGUGAUUAAAAUUAAUUGCAUUUAUAAAUAUGGGGAUAUGGAGGUUAAUGGUCUUGCUCAGGGGUCUGGGAGUGGUGUGGCCGGGAUUUGAACUCCUGACCUUUGGAGCCAAUGGCCAAUGACUUAACCAUGAAGAUACCGUCUCCUGUCCUUUUUUUUGGGGGGGGCGUUGCUUUAAAGUACAGCCCUGGAAAUGCUGGGGAUUGAACUCAGGACCUCAUACAUGAGCCCACUGAGCUACAUCCCCUGGUUUCUGUGAGAGGCUUUUCUUGUUUAAAAAGUAGCAGAAGUGUGCAAAAUUUACUGAACAGUGUAAACGUGUAAGAAAAAAAGUGAGUGUAAAAGUCACUAAUGAACUUGAUUUUUCUACAACAAAUACUACACCUUUUUGCCCCCUGCAAGUUUACUGCUCAUAUUUAUGAUGCACCACAGAGAGCCACAGUAGAUCAUUUUUGCCUGGGGGCAUCAAACUGCAUAACUCCUCCCUCGGAGUGUUAAAAAGCUGCUCCACAAUAUAAAUAAUAUAGAUAUAAUUAUAGGUGCAUCUCAAUACAUUAGAAUAUCAUUAAAAAACAUUUAUUUGAGCAAUUCAAUACAAAAAGUGAAACUUGUGUAUUAUAUAGAUUCAUCACACACAGACUGAUAUAUGAUUAUAUAUUGCAAUGAUCAUAUGUGCAAUGAUUUUAGUGCAACAAUAGUUACAUUUACAAAAGCUUUUAUAACUAUUAUUGUAGUCUGACUUUUAUGCCAUCUGUUAAUUUCAUGCUGCUACACAUUUCAUUUCACUUAAUAUGUAUAUAUUUUCUUAUAUUCUAUUUUUACUUUAAACUUUGCUAAUCUUUUACUGUGAGCUACUGCAACCGAACAAUUUCUUAAUGGGAUUAUUGAAGUAUUCUGAUUUUGAUUAGCGAUUAAAUAAAAUGUAACGCAUCAUAACCAAUAUUUGCCAGCUAUCCGACUUAUUGCCAGUUACAUUAGCAAAUGAAAUCCGCUCGUAUAAUCUGAUAGUCUAACCAGACUUUAGCAAAGAAAAAGAAAGUGCAUGAAGACAUAAAGGUGUUUACAAUUUGUACGUUCAUGGUGCCAAGACUUCUUCAUGAGGCCAAAUGGUUCUCUGCUUUUUUCACUUGUCUUAAGGCAUUUUUUAAACUACACCAUUAACAUUCAUGAUAUUUUUCUUACUGGUCAAAAGUAAACAAAACAAAAAUGCAUUUUUCAGUGGCAGGAACUGGAACAUACUAAAAUCCAUCAGAGUCAAAUCUAAACUGCAUUUUACUGCUCUGGAUUUCUGAGUUUUCCUUUUGUGUUCUGCAAGAACAAAAACAUCUUUGCUUCUAGAAAUUUUAAUAAGAUUGUUGCAGAGAUCAAGGCACAAUGUAACUGGCAGGUGAUUGGCUAAGGAAUUGCCAGAUUUCCCAGAUUAUAAAUUUGUAAUGAAUUUCUGUAAAACUCUUA